UACGAAGGGGGCAAGCGUUACUCGGAAUUACUGGGCGUAAAGCGUGUGUAGGCGGUCUCAUAAGUCGGAUGUGAAAGCCCCGGGCUCAACCCGGGAAGUGCACUCGAAACUGCGAGGCUAGAGUAUCGGAGAGGUUGGUGGAAUUCUCGGUGUAGAGGUGAAAUGCGUAGAUAUCUGGAGGAACACCGGUGGCGAAGGCGGCAUCCUGGACCAACACUGACGCUGAGGAGCGAAAGCCAGGGGAGCAAACGGG
rnacentral:rRNA from 1 species